GCCGGGGUGGCGGAAUGGCAGACGCUGAGGUCUUAAAAAUCUCUGAGGGUAACCUCGUAUGGGUUCGACUCCCAUCCUCGGCACCA
rnacentral:tRNA from 1 species